AAGAUCGAAUGAGGAGAUNCAUCGUCAGCGUAUAUCAGNAUUAAUGCAGGCUAUGAUGUGAUAAUAGCAAUCCUUGUGGUCACUANAUUAUACUUGCUUGUAUUAUUUUUGCUGGGUAUGUCGGCUGUGCACUUCUUCUCUANCNCAANGUAGCAACCCGUUGGAUGUUUAUCUAUGGCCUGAUUGGUAGCCUUUGUUACAUAUUGUAUCGAAGACCUUUUGGUGUCCUGAUAAACUGUCUGACGGUAUACAUAUAGUAUUGAGCCGCAAUUAUUUGCGUUAGACUUAUCGCAAGUAAGGCUUUAUUCUGGUAGUGCGGAUCUAAUGCCGUCGCUGGACAAAGUCUGCUGUUAGCUGUGUAAUGNCUUUAACUGGCUUAUUUACUGGUUAGCGAUGCUACUGCUUUGGGUACUUACAGGACCCGUCUUGAAACACGGACCAAA
rnacentral:rRNA from 1 species